rnacentral:lncRNA from 1 species
UCAUGUGUAAUUUUCUUUUUUAUUUUUAUUUUUAUUUUUAUUUUUAAGAGGUAGGUAGCACGCUACCUGCUUCGUUUAUUUCAUUUAGAAAUAAACUUAGCUGGAAAUGUGAAUCAACUAGGAUUUGAACUUGGGUCUCGGGUACCAACCACCAAGCCCUUUGCCAUUUGCUCUAGGGACGUGUAAUUUGCACUUUGUGCUCUGUUAUUAAAAUGUUUCACUUUGCCUUGUUAU